GAAAUGCGAUAAGUAAUGUGAAUUGCAGAAUUCAGUGAAUCAUCGAAUCUUUGAACGCACAUUGCGCCCUCUGGUAUUCCGGAGGGCAUGCCUGUUCGAGCGUCAUUUCAACCCUCAAGCCUGGCUUGGUGAUGGGGCACUGCUCUCUGACGGGAGCAGGCCCUGAAAUCUAGUGGCGAGCUCGCUAGGACCCCGAGCGUAGUAGUUAUAUCUCGUUCUGGAAGGCCCUGGCGGUGCCCUGCCGUUAAACCCCCAACUUCUGAAAAUUUGACCUCGGAUCAGGUAGGAAUACCCGCUGAACUUAA
rnacentral:misc_RNA from 1 species